UUGUAAACUUGUUACAUAUGAAUCACUCUUGUUUUCUGUUUCCAAGAUUCUAGAGACCAAUAAUAUAGGCUAAAAAAGGCAUUGUCUCAGUCAUGUUUCAACAAACGAAACGGGACCAAUAUUUGCCGAGCAGAUUAUUAUAUUGUAGGUCAAUCAACAAGGGUCAACUGCUCUGUAGAGGGAGAGGGGUCUUUAUAUAGGAGUAAAUUCUCUCCCUUUUUUUUUUUUUUU
rnacentral:lncRNA from 1 species